rnacentral:lncRNA from 1 species
AAUCUUAUUCAGACACAGACUUUGGCCAGGUCCCUGUAGAAGUCAUAGGAGAGUUGGGGUUUCAAGACAAAACAAUAAGAACAACAACAAAAAUAAUAAAACCAACAAUCUUCAGUCCUUUUUGCUUAGUGGGGGUGGAAAGGCCACUGUAGAGAACUUCUUUAAUCCAAGGACACCCACACCAAUAAAAGCAGACGGCAAGGGAACCAGGACAAGCAUGGCUGUGAAGGGACUAGAAACAGAUCUGGCAGGUGGAUAUGCAAUCAUUCCUAUGUGAUGAAGCUCCAGUAAAAUCUCUGGACACCAGCACAGGAUGGGAUGUCCUUUUGCAGAGGAAGCCCAGGUUGGACUUGAACUUCUGGGCUCAAGUUGCCCAUGCUGGACUUGAACUCCUGGGCUCAAGUGGUCCUCUGGCCUCAGCCUCCCAUGUAGCUGAGUCUACUGAUGUAUACCAUCACACCUGGCUUUUUCUUUUCAUUGGAAAAUUUAGUCCAUUUACAUUUAAAGUAAUUGUAAUAGUACCCCUUCUAUUACGAGGGAGGAAAAUAAAACUCAGAUUUCAGGAAUCAAUCAAGGUCAUGUAGCAACCUGGUGGUCAGCCAGAGCUAGAAAUUAUCAAAUAUGAUGAUCCAGCCGGUGUGGUGUAUUCUGAUAUGAGGAGAAUUUCUCUUUUGGUCUUGGACAUAUUCCUUAGACUGACAUGUCACUGGGCCAAUAUUUGAGUGAAUCUCCUGUUUCUGGAAUUAUCAAGAAGACUACAGAAAAUUAUAGGAGUGACUCCGAAAUGCUAUGGAAGAGAUUCCUGCAUUGUCAUGCAUAAAGGCAGAUAUGAGACCUGAAACUGGGGCAGCCAUUGCGAGACCCUGAUGACAGCCAGCCCAAUGGCAAUGCAGACACACACAGCAUGGUGGCAUGAGAUCAUGUCCUAAGAAAUGAGAGAAUUUGAUGUCAUCGUGUGCUGCAGUCAGCCAGCCUUGGAACUCACCAUACCUCUGGACUGCUUGAUAGGGUUCCAGUUCACCUUCCAAUCACCAUUAGACGAAGUUACUCAUUUUUCCAAAAGCAGAGAACAAGAUUGCAGAAGACAACUUGACGUUCCAUUUUAGGAACCAAUAACCCUCAUAUUUGGAAAUUUCAUUACUACACUUUCAGAGGGGAGAAGGCUUUAGGAGGGGGUCUGUGUCGUGCCAGCAAAGACUGCCCCUGUGCCAUGACAGCUCCAUCAGGAAGCCUCCUCUCUUCUCAUCUGCUGCUCCCAAUCUUUCUCCUGAGCACCAGAAAUUACCUUGAGAAGAAGCCUGAAAAGGUGCAUGGUGUCCAGAAGCAUCUCCUCCAGCCAUGUGAAGAAGGACAUAUUUGCUUCCCUUGCUGCCAUGAUUGAACUGGAAAUGAAAUCCUUCGAAGAAAAAACAGAGGGUUGGGAAAUGGUAAAAGACCUUUUUGAUCUCAUCCAUCUUGAGGGAUGCGGCCUAAAGCACAUACAGUCCUCCAAAGAAAAAGUAAUGCCGUGUUACAAAACAGGUUUCCUAUUUUGAUGCACCUGGACAUACCGAGGACUAAACUGUCCUUAGAAGGGAUGUGCACAUUCACAUCAAGACACAAGACAACACCAUCAGACUUCUGGAAAUUAUUUAAAACUUAAGUUUUGGUUAUGGAUUACUGUUGGAGCCACAUCUCUGAAGGACAAUAAUAAAUGGAUUCCAGACACAUGGACAGACCCAGAAGACUCCAAAGCAGGGGCAAUAUUGCCUGUUUCUAGCAAACCCAUAAAAAUGAAACAAUUGGGCACCAAUUGUUUUAGAAAAGCCCACUCUCUUCAAAUGUGAGAUGAAAAAUGAGAAGAAAAAGGUGUUAAGAAGGACCUAAUUAAGAAUUUUUAUGUUACGUAUUUGAACAACUUGACUCUGAUGCAACAUCAUGAUGUAGGGAAUGGUUCAGAAGUCAUACUCGUGAAGUAGAAAGAAAAGAAAAACAAACAGAAAGUUGCACCAGAAUUAGUGUGGCACUGGUUUAUUUCCUACCUGAUUGUAAAGGAAAAAUUGAGAUAUGCUAAUUUAUCAUGCAGCCGCAUAACUUCAUAAUGCAAAAUUUAUGAGAAGAGAUGAGAGGAAAUUGGAGAGGAACAUUAUGGGAGCAAUAAAUACUUAUAUAUACUUAUAUAUAAUACUUAUAUAUAAUUGCAAAUAUUAUAAUGCUGUUGCAUAUUAGUUGAGACCAUUUAGGUGAUUAUUUAGGCUAAAAGUAUAUAUAUAUAUAUAUAUAUAUAUAUAUAUUUAAUUAAAAUACUAUUUAACUGAGCCUCUUGUAGGGGUUAAGUACCCUUCUAGGUAUUGGGGAUACAUCAAUUUCCCAUAUAAAGAUUCCUGUAGAAAUCUAUAUAUAUAUAUA